rnacentral:rRNA from 1 species
CCAGACUCCUACGGGAGGCAGCAGUGGGGGAUAUUGGACAAUGGGGGGAACCCUGAUGCAGCGACGCCGCGUGGGUGACGAAGUAUUUCGGUAUGUAAAGCCCUAUCAGCAGGGAAGAAGAUGACAGUACCUGACUAAGAAGCCCCGGCUAACUACGUGCCAGCAGCCGCGGUAAUACGUAGGGGGCAAGCGUUAUCCGGAUUUACUGGGUGUAAAGGGAGCGUAGGUGGCAUGGCAAGCCAGAAGUGAAAACCCGGGGCUUAACCCCGCGGAUUGCUUUUGGAACUGUCAGGCUGGAGUGCAGGAGGGGCAGGCGGAAUUCCUGGUGUAGCGGUGAAAUGCGUAGAUAUCAGGAGGAACACCGGUGGCGAAGGCGGCCUGCUGGACUGUAACUGACACUGAGGCUCGAAAGCGUGGGGAGCAAACAGGAUUAGAUACCCUGGUAUG